rnacentral:rRNA from 1 species
UACAGAGGGGGCAAGCGUUGUUCGGAAUUACUGGGCGUAAAGGGCGCGUAGGCGGCCUUCUAAGUCGAACGUGAAAUCCCCGGGCUCAACCCGGGAACUGCGUCCGAUACUGGAAGGCUUGAAUCCGGGAGAGGGAUGGCGGAAUUCCAGGUGUAGCGGUGAAAUGCGUAGAUAUCUGGAGGAACACCGGUGGCGAAGGCGGUUACCUGGAGC